GACGAACGCUGGCGGCGUGCUUAACACAUGCAAGUCGAACGGAAAGGCCCUGCUUUUGUGGGGUGCUCGAGUGGCGAACGGGUGAGUAACACGUGAGUAACCUGCCCUUGACUUUGGGAUAACUUCAGGAAACUGGGGCUAAUACCGGAUAGGAGCUCCUGCUGCAUGGUGGGGGUUGGAAAGUUUCGGCGGUUGGGGAUGGACGAGCGGCUUAUCAGCUUGUUGGUGGGGUAGUGGCUUACCAAGGCUUUGACGGGUAGCCGGCCUGAGAGGGUGACCGGCCACAUGGGGCCUGAGAUACGGCCCAGACUCCUACGGGAGGCAGCAGUGGGGAAUAUUGCACAAUGGGCGGAAGCCUGAUGCAGCAACGCCGCGUGCGGGAUGACGGCCUUCGGGUUGUAAACCGCUUUCGCCUGUGACGAAGCGUGAGUGACGGUAAUGGGUAAAGAAGCACCGGCUAACUACGUG
rnacentral:rRNA from 1 species